rnacentral:rRNA from 2 species
UCGACGGUAACAUUGAUGCUUGCAUCAGAUGACGAGUGGCGCACGGGUGAGUAACGCGUAUACAAUCUACCUUUUACAGGGGGAUAGCCUUUAGAAAUGAAGAUUAAUAUCCCAUAGUAAGUAGUUUUGGCAUCAAGACAACUUUAAAGUUUCGGCGGUAAAAGAUGAGUAUGCGUUCUAUUAGUUAGUUGGUAAGGUAACGGCUUACCAAGACCACGAUAGAUAGGGGCCCUGAGAGGGGGAUCCCCCACACUGGUACUGAGACACGGACCAGACUCCUACGGGAGGCAGCAGUGAGGAAUAUUGGACAAUGGGCGCGAGCCUGAUCCAGCCAUGCCGCGUGCAGGAAGACUGCCCUAUGGGUUGUAAACUGCUUUUAUACAGGAAGAAACCUUUUCACGUGUGAAAAGCUGACGGUACUGUAAGAAUAAGGAUCGGCUAACUCCGUGCCAGCAGCCGCGGUAAUACGGAGGAUCCAAGCGUUAUCCGGAAUCAUUGGGUUUAAAGGGUCCGUAGGUGGAUAAUUAAGUCAGGGGUGAAAGUUUGCAGCUCAACUGUAAAAUUGCCUUUGAUACUGGUUAUCUUGAAUUAUUGUGAAGUGGUUAGAAUAU